rnacentral:lncRNA from 1 species
UUUUUUUAGCAAUAAAAUAUUUUUUGAAUUAAAGUAUGCACAUUUUUUUAGACAGAAUGCUACUGUACACUUAAUCGACCACAGUAUAGUGUAAACAGAACUUUUUUUUUUUCUGAGGAAGAUUCACCCUGAGCUAACAUCUGUGCCAAUCAUCCCCUAUUUUUUAGUAUGUGGGCUGCGAGCACAGCAUGGCUGCUAACAGAGUGUUGUAGGUCCAUGCCUGGGAACCGAACCUGGGCCGCCGAAGUAGAGUGUGCUGAACUUAACCACUAAGGCACCAGGGCUGGCCAAACAUAACUUUUAUAUGCACUGGGAAAACAAAACAUUUGUGUGACUUGCUUUAUUGUGGUAUUUGCUUUAUUGUGGUGGUCUGGAACUGAAUUCUCAGCAUCUCCAAGAAGGGUUCGAGUUUGUACUGGCUUCCCUUGAUGGCAGAAGAGAGAUCUGAGGGUGCCUGGCCCCCAAGGGUAGGUAGGAGGCUCCCCACGCCUCCAGAGACCUGGCGCCCCAGGAGUCACUACCAUCCAUUCAACAAACCUGCCCUGAUGCUUCUCUGCGCCAUGACCCGGAGCUCAGCUGGAUGUGCCAGCCAUGAAGAGGACAAGUUCCCUGCCUGACUAUUCUAUCAGGAUUAGGGGAGAUUGACUUGGAGAUUAUGUUACCAUAUAUUGUCUCUUCUGAUAAGGAUUUGAAAAAGUUCUUAUGGGGGGGGUGGGGGACAACGACAUGGACAUUGCCUGGUGACUAGACCCGUGUGUUCCAAAUACAAGAGAGAGGUCUGGGCUGGAGAGAGAUUUUGGUUUCCUGACAUGGUUGUGAUAUUUAGCAAAUAAAAAUACAAGACGUCCAGUUAAAUUUGAAUUUCACAUAAACAACGAAUAACAACUUAG